CUAAGAUGAAAGUCAGCCAAGCCUUCUUCCAGAUCUUCACCACAGAAGUGGCUUCCUCAGAGAACAUCAGUCCACAGCAGAAAGCUGAAGACUACGGUGUUGACUGAAGUUUCUGUUCCGCUCAGCCCUGCAGCCAUUCAGUCCCAAAGAAUCACACAGAGCACAAGUUAGCAC